rnacentral:rRNA from 1 species
CCUACGGGUGGCAGCAGUGGGGAAUAUUGCACAAUGGGGGAAACCCUGAUGCAGCGACGCCGCGUGAGUGAAGAAGUAUUUCGGUAUGUAAAGCUCUAUCAGCAGGGAAGAAAAUGACGGUACCUGACUAAGAAGCCACGGCUAACUACGUGCCAGCAGCCGAGGUAAUACGUAGGGGGCAAGCGUUAUCCGGAUUUACUGGGUGUAAAGGGAGCGUAGACGGCAAGGCAAGUCAGAAGUGAAAGCCCAGGGCUUAACUAUGGGACUGCUUUUGAAACUGGCCAGCUGGAGUGCAGGAGAGGUAAGGGGAAUUCCUAGUGUAGCGGUGAAAUGCGUAGAUAUCAGGAGGAACACCGGUGGCGAAGGCGGCUUACUGGACUGAAACUGACGUUGAGGCACGAAAGCGUGGGUAGCGAACAGGAUUAGAUACCCCUGUAGUC